rnacentral:misc_RNA from 1 species
AAUUCUCAACUGAUCCUUGGAUCGGCUUGGACUUGGGAGAUUGUUGGGUCUGCUUGGCUCUCUUGAAAUGCAUUGCAUUAAGCUAACAUGCACGCCCUCUGACAUGAUAAUGAUCAUCAUAGCUGGAGCAUGGCUUGAUCGGAUUGGCUUUAGCUACUAGUUUGUAACCUGAACAAAUGAAUGUGAGUCUAACCUAAUG